GACGAACGCUGGCGGCGUGCCUAAUACAUGCAAGUAGAACGCACAGUUUAUACCGUAGCUUGCUACACCAUAGACUGUGAGUUGCGAACGGGUGAGUAACGCGUAGGUAACCUGCCUGGUAGCGGGGGAUAACUAUUGGAAACGAUAGCUAAUACCGCAUAAUAUUAAUUAUUGCAUGAUAAUUAAUUGAAAGGUGCAAUUGCACCACUACCAGAUGGACCUGCGUUGUAUUAGCUAGUAGGUGAGGUAACGGCUCACCUAGGCGACGAUACAUAGCCGACCUGGGAGGGUGAUCGGCCACACUGGGACUGAGACACGGCCCAGACUCCUACGGGAGGCAGCAGUAGGGAAUCCUCGGCAAUGGACGAAAGUCUGACCGAGCAACGCCGCGUGAGUGAAGAAGGUUUUCGGAUCGUAAAGCUCUGUUGUAAGAGAAGAACGGGUGUGAGAGUGGAAAGUUCACACUGUGACGGUAUCUUACCAGAAAGGGACGGCUAACUACGUG
rnacentral:rRNA from 1 species